GUUUCUUCAAGAUCUUGUACCGGGUUGCAACAAGGUGACUGGGAAGGCAGUUAUGCUUGACGAAAUCAUAAACUACGUACAAUCACUACAACGCCAAGUUGAGUUUUUAUCGAUGAAACUUGCAACUGUGAACCCACAAAUG